rnacentral:rRNA from 1 species
AGAGAGUGGCGAAAGGGUGAGUAACGCGUAGGUAAUUUACCCUUGAGACAGGAAUAACAUCCCGAAAGGGUUGCUAAUACCUGAUAACAUCUAUUAACCCUCGGGUUUUUAGAUCAAAUGAAGGCUCUGCUUUCGCUCAAGGAGAAACCUGCGUCCUAUUAGCUUGUUGGUGGGGUAAUGGCCUACCAAGGCGAUGAUGGGUAGCUGGUCUGAGAGGAUGGUCAGCCACAUUGGGACUGAGACACUGCCCAAACUCCUACGGGAGGCUGCAGUCGAGAAUAUUUCGCAAUGGGGGAAACCCUGACGAUGCGACGCCGCGUGGGGGAUGAAGGUCUUCGGAUUGUAAACUCCUGUUCUACAAGAAGAACGAGCAGUUAGUGAUAAGCUAACUGCUGUGACUGUAUUGUAGCAGCAAGCCCCAGCUAACUACGUGCCAGCAGCUGCGGUAAUACGUAGGGGGCAAGCGUUGUCCGGAAUUACUGGGCGUAAAGCGCACGCAGGCGGCUAUAUAAGUCGGAUAUGAAAUUGCUUGGCUUAACCAAGCAACUGUAUUCGAUACUGUGUGGCUUGAGUACGAGAGGGGAAAGUGGAAUGUACAGUGUAGCGGUGAAAUGCGUAGAGAUUGUACAGAACACCGGUAGCGAAGGCAGCUUUCUGGCUCGAUACUGACGCUGAGGUGCGAAAGUCUGGGUAGCGAACGGGAUUAGAUACCCCGGUAGUCCAGACCGUAAACGAUGGGUACUAAGUGUAGGGGAUACGACUCUUCUGUGCUGUAGCUAACGCAUUAAGUACCCCGCCUGGGGAGUACGGCCGCAAGGUUAAAACUCAAGGUAAUUGACGGGGGGCCGCACAAGCGGUGGAGCAUGUCGCUUAAUUCGAAGCAACGCGAAGAACCUUAUCCAGGGCUUGACAUAUCUCUGAUCGCCAUAGAAAUAUGGCUUUCCUUCGG